CAAUAGCGUAUAUUAAAGUUGUUGCAGUUAAAAAGCUCGUAGUUGGAUUUGUGGCGUACGGUGUGUUCCAGGCACUUGUUGUCUGAGUAACCUGCUGUUGCCAUCCUUGGGUGGAACCUGUGUGGCAUUAGGUUGUCGUGCAGGGGAUGCCCAUCAUUUACUGUGAAAAAAUUAGAGUGUUCAAAGCAGGCUUAUGCCGUUGAAUAUAUUAGCAUGGAAUAAUGAGAUAGGACUUUUUUGCUAUUUUGUUGGUUUGCGCAAGAAGGUAAUGAUUAAUAGGGACAGUUGGGGGUAUUCGUAUUCCAUUGUCAGAGGUGAAAUUCUUGGAUUUUUGGAAGACGAACUACUGCGAAAGCAUUUACCAAGGAUGUUUUCAUUAA
rnacentral:rRNA from 1 species